UACGUAGGGGGCUAGCGUUGUCCGGAAUCACUGGGCGUAAAGGGCGCGUAGGCGGGCUGGCAAGUCGGUCGUGAAAUCCUUCGGCUCAACCGAAGAACGUCGGCCGAUACUGCCGUUCUUGAGGGAUGCAGAGGAGAUUGGAAUUCCCGGUGUAGCGGUGAAAUGUGUAGAGAUCGGGAGGAACACCGGUGGCGAAGGCGGGUCUCUGGGCAUCUCCUGACGCUGAGGCGCGAAAGCGUGGGGAGCAAACGGG
rnacentral:rRNA from 1 species